ACGGGGGAUGCAAGCGUUAUCCGGAUUUAUUGGGUUUAAAGGGUGCGUAGGCGGUUUGAUAAGUCAGCGGUGAAAUAUUUCAGCUUAACUGAAAGGGUGCCGUUGAUACUGUCAGGCUUGAAUAUGGUUGCUGUGGGUGGAAUGUGUGGUGUAGCGGUGAAAUGCUUAUAUAUCACGCAGAAUAUCGAUUGCGAAGGCAGCACACAAGGCUAUUAUUGACGCUGAUGCACGAAAGUGUGUGGUUCGUACAG
rnacentral:rRNA from 1 species